UUUUCGCACCUAAACAAGGCCUAAUUGUACAGUUUAUUUGUAAUUUGUGAGACGAAUCUUUUAAGCCUAGUUAGUCUAUAAUUAGAUAAUAUUUGCAACAAACAAUCGAAAGUGCUACAGUGACUAAAACCUUUUCGUUUUGGCAACUGAACAAGGCCUGAUAUAUCCCAGGAGCCACCAAUUAUUCAUAGAACUCUUCCCAUGUCAUCGUUUUGCAGUCGAACUUACAGGUAAUGUAUAUACUACACCUAGUUAGUGAAGCAUUUGUACAGUUUAAAUUUAAAUUCCGUUGCGAAAUUAUUUUCAUUUUCCAUCAUCAGUCAACACUAUGUUUCAAUUGGGCCAGGUAGAAUGUGCCUCCAAUAAACACAGCACCUUUCACCCGCCCUGUUUUUCAGUUUUUGUCACGGGAUAUAGUACAUUGGGUUAGGGAGCUUGAAAGAGCGAGCACUCAUGGAAGAUCCCAGCAGGUCGCUCCAUUGGACGCCAGAGUUGCCUAGGAUCCUGUAACCCUCUUCUUCCAUUUCUUUCCUCAUUUCUGAUUUGUAGACUGUCGCUGUUUUCUUGUGGUCACCUGCUGCCCUCUUCACAAUGGGACGAAGAAGGUGGCAAAAUCGUGACACGCAUCAAUGGCAUGACUAUUGACGUCACAAUUGAGAGGAUUGAGCAAAUCCUUGGCCUUCCACGCGGAACUGAGGAGGGAAAGAGUGUGACUUUGCCGACAUCUGCACCCAACUAAGUUAUUGAUUUGUUCUUGCAACAUGGCAAAAGCAAAAAGGCCAUCCCAUCGGCAAAAAAGCUCACUCUUAAAAAUAUGGCUAUUGGUGCAGCUGACUUACUAGAUUUGAUGGAGGUUGUUGACACAAAAAUGAAAGUUAGGUGCUUUCUGAUGAUGAUCGUAUUGAACAAGUUCUUGAUUCCGUCGAGUGGCUCUCAUCUAAAUGACAGGCAGGCUCAAAUUGCUUGGGACCUUGAUUCUGUAGUAAAAAUUGAUUGGUGCAAACUGGUAUUUGAGGACUUGAAAGAUUGCAUAAAGAACAGGUAUGAUGACAACAACAAUUGUUCUGGUUGUUCAAUUGUUCUAUUGAUUGUUGUCUUCGAGGCUUUAGUGCCAUCUAAAUGUCCAACGACAGAACCAUCUGUCAUUGGUUACGACGAUGAAAAGUUGAAACUACUUCUUGAACAAAUUAGAGACAAGGUUGGUGUCAAGAAAGAAAGUGGCAUUGAUGUUAGCAAUAAAGCUCAGCCCACGGAGCAAAAUAGGUCUUUUCUGGAGUUUGAAGAGGAAAUUCAUGCAAUUAUGAAGGAAAUGGCUGAUCAUCUUGAUGAUGUGAAAUGUAUGGUGCCAGACGAAAAACGGGAAUCAAUUCAGUGCAGCCUCGGAACCUUCAAUACACUCACAAAGAGACUUUGGGCGCUGGAUCUUUGGGAUCCAUUUUACAAAGCCAAUGUUUUAAAUGUGGACAAUGACAGCAAUGGCAGCUAUACCAUGGUACGAAUAGGUGAACAUACGAUUACCAAAGCUAUCUUUCGUGAAAGCUUGAAGCCAGAUGGCUGGCUGAGCUCAUUUGUGAUAGAUGCACAAUGUGAAAUAUGGCGCUCACAAUGGCCGGACAAGAAAAUUAUUCUUACCACUUUUGCUUACUUGUAACUUUUACAUAAUACAUAUUCACCAUCUCAUGAAUUUUAUAGAAAGAAUUGCUGGAACCAAACACAAGUAACAAAAUCACUGGACGGAAGAAAAAGUAAAGGAUGUUACAAAGGUUUUGCUCUUUUCUAUUAUAUUUUUAUUUGAUUUAGUUGAUUCUGUCAAUGGAGCUCCCUGAAACCCUAAAUUUGACAAGUUUUUUUUUCAGAUAUUUAUGCCCGUAAAUGUAACAAAAGUGCACUGGAUAUUAGUUGUGAUGGACUUUCAAAAAAGUGAAGUGCAAAUCCUAGACUCCAUGAAAUCAAAUACUUAUGUUGCCCCUGCUUAUCUAGUGACAGCAUCGCUGGAGAUGUAUGUAAUGACCAAAUUCGGCCUUGCUACUGGCUUUCCUAAGAGGAGGAACUUAGACUUGACAGAGCAGACAAACACGUAAUUUUUCCUUCCUUAAAGAUAACUUAGACAUUGAGUUCUUUGUUGCAAGUUUACUCAUGCUUGCAUUGUUGUUGUAGAUGUGACUGUGGGCUCCAUGUCCUCUUAUACAUUCAGCGCUAUGGGUGCAGUGACAUGUAUGGAAUUGAUGAGGUUAGUAACAUGCUUGUUAAGUAACAGUGUGAUUUGUUUUUAUUUUACAAAAUAUACUUGUGCCUUUAAAUGUAGGAACAAAUUUUACGUUACCGUAAGCAGCUUGCUUAUGAGCUCAAGCAUGAAUCCAAUGAUCAUCCUUCCACAUCAACCCUGCACAUUGAUGAAUCAUUGGAUGUGCAG